rnacentral:lncRNA from 1 species
GUCCCGGGAGCCCGGCCUCGUGCGCCGCGCUUUGAGCAGCAGACUGCUCGACAAACACUGCGCCAAGAGCUCCUCAGCAGAAGCUCCUCGCAUCAGAUCCUCUGUGCUGGGAAUCCUCCCCUCUUGAGCACACUCUGUGCUCCUCUUCCAGUUACGGUGCAUGUGAAGCAAUGGUAUGGGAAAAUUGUUUGCAGAAGGAUGAAAAGGCUUUAUUGCCAAACUGUAAGUACAUGAUUUGAAAUGUUUAUGGUCAAGAGAAAAUAUUUCUACAGCAUCAUGUAAAGCAUGUAGAUACAUUUGCACAUGUGCAUUAACAUGUAAGAACAUGUGCCUCAGACACAUGUGCCCUCCUGGAACAGCUCAUGCUGGCCCCAUGCCUGCUUCCAAGCUUCCAUCAAGUCAGGGAGUGGAGCAAAGAGGGAAGGCAGCCCCUGCACUGUAGGGACCCUUAUGCACAGAGGCAUUGAGACUGCCUGUUCCUCUUGGAAGCUUCUGCUCUCAAGAGGCAGCUAGGUUUUUGGAGCUUCUCUGCUUCAUGUCUUGCUUCCCACCCUAGGGUUCCAGAUUCUGUUCUUCCCUAGUAUUGGCAAGGUUUUUUAUAGAUAGCUCUUGGAUACAUUUGGAAGUAAUGUUUACAAAUGGUGAGAGAGAAGGCAUCUGACAUUUUUUUCUAAACACAUGCCAAUGUUUGUCUUUUCCCCACUAAUUUCAAUAAUUUGGCCUAACACUUUUGUCACAUAUUCUGACUCUUUAUUCUGAUCCAUUUAUCUACUCUGGCAUCCCCACAUGGUUUUAAGUACUGGAGCUUUACUGUAUGUCUUGGUAUCAGGCCAAGCAAACCAUGUUAGUCUUAUUUAAAACUUUCUCAGCAAUUGAUGCAUAUUUGUUUAUCCUGAUGAAUUUUAGAACUUACCAGUACUGACAUCUUCACAGCAUUGUAUCCUGUCAACAACCUAGUCUGAACCUCAAUGGUUCAGGUUUCCUUUGCACAUACAGGCCCUGAGAACUCAUAUGUUAAUGAGAAAGACAUUCCGGGAAACCAGGAGGUGAGGAGACCAAGGAUUAGGCUCCACUCCUAUUAUGAAGAUGAACAGUUUUUAGAGUAUCAUGGAGUUGGAGAAGGUACUUCAAGGAUCUCUAUGGGGAACAAGAAGGAACAGCAAAGUUCCACCAUCCUGUGCCCUUUCUGUUCAGGUUUAUUGUUGUGAAUGAGAAUUUUUUUUUUUUUAACAUGUUGUGGAUCUAUCUAUCUGAUCACCUUAUUGAACUGAGAAUGGUUCUAUG